GUACUGGAUCAACACUAAUUAAAGAUGGACGACGUGGACAGCAAUCAGACGUGAAGUGGAAGAAUUUAAUAGAAAGAUUGACAAACAAUUGAGGAAAGAAGGGAGAUCAUUCAAUUGAGUUGAAGCCUACAGCCAUUCUAUCCAUGCAGCAACUGAUGGAAAAGGGGUUCGCUUUGGUGCUGUUGUGAUGUUGUCGCAAAAAUGACAUAUAUAUAU